rnacentral:rRNA from 1 species
GGAGCGGCCGAUGGCAGAUUAGGUAGUUGGUGGGAUAAAAGCUUACCAAGCCGACGAUCUGUAGCUGGUCUGAGAGGACGACCAGCCACACUGGGACUGAGACACGGCCCAGACUCCUACGGGAGGCAGCAGUGGGGAAUUUUGGACAAUGGGCGAAAGCCUGAUCCAGCCAUGCCGCGUGCAGGAUGAAGGCCUUCGGGUUGUAAACUGCUUUUGUAGCGGAAGCGAAAAUGACCUUCUGGUUAAUACCCUGGGGUUCCAUGACGGU